rnacentral:pre_miRNA from 1 species
AUAAUACUUCCUCCGUCCAGAAUUAUUUGUCGCUCAACUGAUGUAUCUAGAUGUAUUUUAGUGGUAGAUACAUCUGCUCGAGUGUCAAGUAAUUCCGGACGGAGGGAGUAUAAC